rnacentral:rRNA from 1 species
UGCCUACGGGCGGCAGCAGUGGGGAAUAUUGGACAAUGGGCGAAAGCCUGAUCCAGCAAUGCCGCGUGAGUGAUGAAGGCCUUAGGGUUGUAAAGCUCUUUUACCAGGGAUGAUAAUGACAGUACCUGGAGAAUAAGCUCCGGCUAACCCCGUCCAAGCAGCCCCGGAAAUACGGGGGGAGCUAGCGUUGUUCGGAAUUACUGGGCGUAAAGCGCACGUAGGCGGCUACUCAAGUCAGAGGUGAAAGCCCGGGGCUCAACCCCGGAACUGCCUUUGAAACUAGGUAGCUAGAAUCUUGGAGAGGUCAGUGGAAUUCCGAGUGUAGAGGUGAAAUUCGUAGAUAUUCGGAAGAACACCAGUGGCGAAGGCGACUGACUGGACAAGUAUUGACGCUGAGGUGCGAAAGCGUGGGGAGCAAACAGGAUUAGAUACCCCGGUAGUC